rnacentral:tRNA from 14 species
CUGCGCUGGUCGGGCUUGACCCCGGGCUUCAAACCCGACCCCUAUGCUGGAAACAGUCGAGCGGGGGUU